rnacentral:rRNA from 1 species
GAUGAACGCUGGCGGCGUGCUUAACACAUGCAAGUCGAACGAAGCACUUUAACCUGAUUCUUCGGAUGAAGGUUUUUGUGACUGAGUGGCGGACGGGUGAGUAACGCGUGGGUAACCUGCCCCAUACAGGGGGAUAACAGUUAGAAAUGACUGCUAAUACCGCAUAAGACCACAGAGCCGCAUGGCUCGGUGGGAAAAACUCCGGUGGUAUGAGAUGGACCCGCGUCUGAUUAGGUAGUUGGUGGGGUAACGGCCUACCAAGCCAACGAUCAGUAGCCGACCUGAGAGGGUGACCGGCCACAUUGGGACUGAGACACGGCCCAAACUCCUACGGGAGGCAGCAGUGGGGAAUAUUGCACAAUGGGGGAAACCCCGAUGCAGCGACGCCGCGUGAGCGAAGAAGUAUUUCGGUAUGUAAAGCUCUAUCAGCAGGGAAGAAAAUGACGGUACCUGACUAAGAAGCACCGGCUAAAUACGUG